UAUUAUUUGCGCUUCUCUCUCUCUCUCUCUCUCUCUUUUUCUUUCUAAAGACAAAACCGUGGAUCUAUCUCCUCCCUAUAUUGCAUUAUUUUUGGUUGUUGGUGUACCUGUUAUCAUUCAUCUCUUCAUAAUUAAAUCCAUGCUUUUAUCUUCUUCAUCUUGUUGUUAGAUAGAUCUAAUCUCUAUCUAUAGAAAUUUGGAAAACUUUUCUCUUUCUUCCUCGGAUCAGAAAGAGAAAUGAGCUCUCUUCGAGCAGAUCCGCCGACCUCCAAAAUUCACCCAGAAGCAGAAGCAGAAGCAACUACUAGUUGUUUUUGUUCUUCUUCAAAAAUCGACCAUUUCGACCGCCUUCCUGACUCUCUUCUAUUAUUCGUUUUCAACAAAAUCGGCGAUGUCAAAGCUCUUGGUCGUUGCUGUGUUGUUUCUCGCCGCUUCCACUCUCUCGUCCCUCAGGUCGAUAACGUUGUUGUCCGUGUAGACUGUGUCAUCUCCGAUGACGACACCUCCUCUUCUUCCUCCUCCAUCAAGUCACACUCUUCUUCUUCUUCUGGCUUCUCCUCCAUCUUUCGUUUAGUCUUCGGUGGCAUUUCCAAACCCUUCCAAGCUCUGAGUCAGAUGUUUGGACCCAAGGUCAAUUCGCGAAAUGGAAAUGGGCCUUCCCUUUCUGUCGCCGCCGAUGAUGAUAUGGAGCUGGAUCAAGCUGGUGUCACCCAUCAUUCUCCAACUCAGGUUCUUAAGAAUUUUAAUGAGAUUCGCUUUCUAAGAAUCGAGUUACCCAGUGGGGAAUUGGGAAUUGAUGAUGGGGUUCUUUUAAAAUGGAGGGCUGAUUUCGGAUCUACCCUUGAUAAUUGUGUUAUUCUUGGUGCUGCUUCUGUCAUUACCAAUAAUAAGAUUUCUUCUGCUAUGCAACAAGAAAAUGCUGCUGCUGUUGCCGAUGAUGAUGAUAAUGGAAGCAUACCGGAGUCAUUUUACACCAAUGGGGGAUUGAAGUUGAGAGUUGUGUGGACUAUUAGCUCUUUAAUUGCUGCAUCUGCCAGGCAUUAUUUGCUUCAACCAAUUAUUGCUGAGCAUAAGACUCUUGAUAGUUUGGUCUUGGCUGAUGCUGAUGGGCAGGGAGUGUUGUGUAUGAAUAGGGAGCAAUUGGAAGAGUUGAGGGUCAAGCCGUUAUCGGCUUCUUCUGCUUCCAAGAGGACUCUUGUGCCUGCACUUAAUAUGCGCCUUUGGUAUGCUCCUCACUUGGAAUUGCCUGAUGGGGUUGUGUUGAAAGGUGCAACAUUGGUUGCUAUUAGGCCUAGUGAACAGGCUGCUACUAAGAAGGAUGUGUCUGAUGUCUCCUGGGUCUCUACCACGUUUGAGGAGCCUUAUGGUACAGCAGCUAAGAUGCUGGUGAAGAGAAGGACUUACUGCUUGGAGAUGAACUCAUUCUGAUUAGAAUAAUGGGCCUGAGAUUAAUGUUAUCUUAGUUGCAUACAUAAUUUCUUAGCCAUGACCAUGUGCGUGCCUUCUUCUCUCAUCUUUGUGAUGCAUGCCGGUUGCCCUCUUGUAGGAAAGUGGGAGAUUUGUUUUUCAAUGCAAGUCAGUGAUCUAGCCUGUCACUACUGUGACCAUUAAAUUAAGGGGAGGCGCAAUGGUUUAAGGGAAAGGGGAUGUAAAUGAUAUUUCGAGUGAAGAAUCAGAAAACAAUUUUGCUUUAUGCUUUGGCCAUAGCCAGAUGCAGUGUCUCAUGAAGCUGAAUCUUUCUUUGGACCACCACCGGGAUCCCAUCCUCCGUUGAUGAUGCCCUGCAGUCUUUUUAACCUUUUGUGCAUGAACUGACAGCUAAAAUGCAUCUGCUGCUUGUUUUAAUUUCAGGCAUAUGCUUGUAACGUUCACACAUGCAACUAGAUGAAUGUAGCAAGUGCUUUGAGUUUGUAGUGAUUUACUUUAAUUUAGAAUCUAUGUAUGUGAAUAUUGUAGGUAUGAAUAUGCUGCGUUUAUGCUACACUUUUUUCAUACAUUAAGCAAUGUGCUUUGGGUUAACCUUAAAA